rnacentral:rRNA from 1 species
UGCGCGGCUUAACACAUGCAAGUCGAGCGGAGAUGAGGUGCUUGCACCUUAUCUUAGCGGCGGACGGGUGAGUAAUGCUUAGGAAUCUGCCUAUUAGUGGGGGACAACAUUCCGAAAGGAAUGCUAAUACCGCAUACGUCCUACGGGAGAAAGCAGGGGAUCUUCGGACCUUGCGCUAAUAGAUGAGCCUAAGUCGGAUUAGCUAGUUGGUGGGGUAAAGGCCUACCAAGGCGACGAUCUGUAGCGGGUCUGAGAGGAUGAUCCGCCACACUGGGACUGAGACACGGCCCAGACUCCUACGGGAGGCAGCAGUGGGGAAUAUUGGACAAUGGGGGGAACCCUGAUCCAGCCAUGCCGCGUGUGUGAAGAAGGCCUUAUGGUUGUAAAGCACUUUAAGCGAGGAGGAGGCUACUGAGACUAAUACUCUUGGAUAGUGGACGUUACUCGCAGAAUAAGCACCGGCUAACUCUGUGCCAGCAGCCGCGGUAAUACAGAGGGUGCGAGCGUUAAUCGGAUUUACUGGGCGUAAAGCGUGCGUAGGCGGCUUUUUAAGUCGGAUGUGAAAUCCCCGAGCUUAACUUGGGAAUUGCAUUCGAUACUGGGAAGCUAGAGUAUGGGAGAGGAUGGUAGAAUUCCAGGUGUAGCGGUGAAAUGCGUAGAGAUCUGGAGGAAUACCGAUGGCGAAGGCAGCCAUCUGGCCUAAUACUGACGCUGAGGUACGAAAGCAUGGGGAGCAAACAGGAUUAGAUACCCUGGUAGUCCAUGCCGUAAACGAUGUCUACUAGCCGUUGGGGCCUUUGAGGCUUUAGUGGCGCAGCUA